ensembl:snRNA U6 U6 spliceosomal RNA
ACGGUCACUUCGACAGCACAAAUACUAAAAUUGGAACAACACGGAGAAGAUCAGCAUGGCCCCUGACCAAGGAGAACAUGCAAAUUUGUGAAGUGUUCCAGAUUUUA